rnacentral:rRNA from 1 species
UACAGAGGUCCCGAGCGUUGUUCGGAUUCACUGGGCGUAAAGGGUGCGUAGGUGGUGGGGUAAGUCGGAUGUGAAAGCUCGGAGCUUAACUCCGAAAUGGCAUUGGAAACUGCCCUGCUAGAGGGUCGGAGGGGGGACUGGAAUUCCCGGUGUAGCAGUGAAAUGCGUAGAUAUCGAGAGGAACACCCGUGGCGAAGGCGAGUCCCUGGACGACACCUGACACUGAGGCACGAAAGCUAGGGGAGCAAAUAGG